UGGGGAAUUUUGGACAAUGGGGGAAACCCUGAUCCAGCCAUCCCGCGUGUGCGAUGAAGGCCUUCGGGUUGUAAAGCACUUUUGGCAGGAAAGAAACGUCAUGGGUUAAUACCCCGUGAAACUGACGGUACCUGCAGAAUAAGCACCGGCUAACUACGUGCCAGCAGCCGCGGUAAUACGUAGGGUGCAAGCGUUAAUCGGAAUUACUGGGCGUAAAGCGUGCGCAGGCGGUUCGGAAAGAAAGAUGUGAAAUCCCAGAGCUCAACUUUGGAACUGCAUUUUGAACUACCGGGCUAGAGUGUGUCAGAGGGAGGUGGAAUUCCGCGUGUAGCAGUGAAAUGCGUAGAUAUGCGGAGGAACACCGAUGGCGAAGGCAGCCUCCUGGGAUAACACUGACGCUCAUGAACGAAAGCGUGGGGAGCAAACAGG
rnacentral:rRNA from 1 species